rnacentral:rRNA from 1 species
AACGAACGCUGGCGGCAUGCCUAACACAUGCAAGUCGAACGAGACCUUCGGGUCUAGUGGCGCACGGGUGCGUAACGCGUGGGAACCUGCCCUUAGGUUCGGAAUAACUCCCCGGAAGGGGUGCUAAUACCGGAUAAUGUCUUCGGACCAAAGAUUUAUCGCCUUUGGAUGGGCCCGCGUUGGAUUAGCUAGUUGGUAGGGUAAAAGCCUACCAAGGCGACGAUCCAUAGCUGGUCUGAGAGGAUGAUCAGCCACACUGGGACUGAGACACGGCCCAGACUCCGACGGGGGGCAGCAGGGGGGAAUAUGGGAAAAGGGGCGAAAGCCUGAUCCAGCAAUGCCGGGGGAGUGAUGAAGGCCUUAGGGUUGUAAAGCUCUUUUACCCGGGAUGAUAAGGACAGUCCCGGGAGAAUAAGCCCCGGCAAACCCCGU